AGAGUUUGAUCCUGGCUCAGAACGAACGCUGGCGGCAGGCUUAACACAUGCAAGUCGAGCGCCCCGCAAGGGGAGCGGCAGACGGGUGAGUAACGCGUGGGGAUGUACCCAAAGGUUCGGAAUAACUCAGGGAAACUUGAGCUAAUACCGUAUGUGCCCGAGAGGGGAAAGAUUUAUCGCCUUUGGAUCAACCCGCGUCAGAUUAGCUAGUUGGUAGGGUAAUGGCCUACCAAGGCGACGAUCUGUAGCUGGUCUGAGAGGAUGAUCAGCCACACUGGGACUGAGACACGGCCCAGACUCCUACGGGAGGCAGCAGUGGGGAAUAUUGGACAAUGGGCGCAAGCCUGAUCCAGCCAUGCCGCGUGAGUGAUGACGGCCUUAGGGUUGUAAAGCUCUUUCGACGGGGACGAUAAUGACGGUACCCGUAGAAGAAGCCCCGGCUAACUUCGUGCCAGCAGCCGCGGUA
rnacentral:rRNA from 1 species